CUCAGAGGCAGUGUCCAGCACACCACCUGCCAGAGAGUCCCACAAGCUUGUUAAACGGACCUGGGUGGGCAGAAACGGCGGCGGGCGCUCGUGGCGUCGCGUCGCCGCCGCCUGGGCGGGAGCCGGGCCGAGCUCGACGAGGCUGCGCAGGGGUGGCGCCGGCAGUGCGCCUGCGCGUGCGUGGGGCGGGGCGGCGUCGGGAGGGGCGGGCGCACAAAGCCGGCGUUUAGGAGGGGCGCUACGGGGAGCGGCGAGGAGCAGAAGCCUUCGCGCAGGCCCAACGCCUUAAAGGGGCAGGUGCUGCGCGGACUUCUUGCUGAAAAGCGCUAACCCUGAAGUUGGCCGGUGCGGGCCCGUCUGCUCCUGAACUUUCCAGAACCUGAAGUACCUACGGGAAAGUGCUCGGUGCCCCUCGCACGUUCACAACCUGUGCCAGCCCUGCAGGGGCGCCGCUUCAGGAUUGGGGGUCGGCGGGCCCUACCCUCUCUUCUGGGACCGCCCUCCAGGACGGCGUCCCCGAGUGCCGGCGGCGCACGCGUCUGGGCCCGGCGUGGCCGAGUUCCCGCCGUGUCUCCGCUGCAGCCCGGGACCCCCCUGCGCCCAGGGACCCGCACCUGGCCACUUGACAACGGAGGGCCUGCGCGGAGCCUCCUGGACGCCCGCUUUCCCUGCCCAGCGCCCGGGGCGCGCCUGCCACGCUGCUGAGCCCCCCACCGGAGUCAGCCCUCACAGCACCGUCACCUGAUGUGACAGAUUGCGGGGGGUGGGGAGUCGGCCCAGAGAGGAGGGCUCCAGGCACAGGCAGAGGCUGGAGCCGGGCUCUGGCCCUGAACCCUGUGCGCUGCCCCCCAGUAACGCACGCCUGCUCCCCUUUUUGUUCUUAGGGUCUUAAGAGUCUUCUAAGUGGCCGUGGUCUCCGCUUCUCCAACCGAGGCCUGUGGGUAGGAUAAGAUGAUGUCCCUUAUUUCCCAUUAAAAUUAGGAACACCCACUGUGGUAUCAGCAGGAACCAGUGCAGACAAGAGGACCGAGCAUUUGAAAUGGAUAUGCCCAGGGAGCCGAGGUGCGUCUUUGUUAUAGGAGCUCCCCUCCCAAGGGGAAUGCAGGGGCUUCAAAGUGCAUAGCUCCCUGCGGACCUCUGUGCCCAGGAGGCCUAUUCACGGUAGGCCAGAUGCCCAGGUGCCAGAGGCAGUGUCCAUGGAAGUAAUGACGUCCAGCUCAGAAAAAUCACAGGUUGAAAUGGGAGAGUGAAUAAAAACUACAGAGAAAGGGAAAACAUUACAGAGGCUUGUCCCAGUGUCUUUGGCGGGUGGCAUGGGAUGAGAGGAGGCCAAGGAGGAGCGUCUGUGUGCUUGAUUCUCAAGUACGUUUGUUACACGUGUUACCUCUGGCACCUUCACAACAAACCUGAGAAGUGGAUGCCUUUGUUUCUUUUCACAAUGAAGACACCAAAGCUCAGAGAGUUUGAGAAGCUGCCCACGGAUCCACAGGCAGUGGGCACAGCAUGAAGUCAGGACUAGCUCAAGGCAGAACCUGCCCUCCCAGCCACCAGACCUCACAACCCGCUCAGAGGUGCCAGUGGGGUGGAUGGCAGAUGAAUGGACAGGACGGCCGCCUCCGCGGGACCACCAUUCCAGGGGGCAGCUGAUGCUGUCCAGAGACCCCAGGGCUUCCACCAGCCCAGGGAGCCAGGACAGUCACCUGAAGCCUUCCUCCAGAACCCAGGCUCCCAUCCCUUCCUGCCCUUGCUCACUACUGUGGGCUCACGGGAGCAGCGAUAGCCCAUCCAGGCUGCAGUGCCUGCUGGCAGGGGGGUGCACAGCAAGUACUCAAUAAAGACCCUCCCAAUGAAUGAA